rnacentral:lncRNA from 1 species
CGGGAGUGUGAAGGAGCAAGUGCCGACAGCUACAACCGCGAUUCAGAGGUUCUUGAAAGGGUUGCUGUUGUUUCUGGACAGUCAUCCUGGGCGGCUGUCCCCAGGCCAGCGAGGCCGACUGCUUAGCCUGCAGCCUGGGCCGCACUCCUGAGACACUCUGCCCCCAUCUGACUGGCCACGUGCCCUCUCGCUCCUCAGUGGCAAAGGAGGAAGAGGCAGUGAGAUGGCAAAUAGGCAAGGCCACCAUCAGUCAUUGUCGUCACUGUCACCAUCGUCUUGCAGAUCAGCCACAAUCCUGCCUGCACAGAACAGAGUGUCACUCUGUCACCCAGGCUGGAGUGCAGUGGCACAAUCUCGGCUCACUGCAACCUCUGCCUCCCAGGUUCAAGCGAUUCUUCUGCCUCAGCCUCCCAAGUAGCUGGGACCACAGACACUGUGGGAGGCUUGAGGCCCAUGACAUCAAUUUAGGCAUCCGGAGAAGUGACAGAGACAUACUCAGGAAGGCUGGACCCAUGGAGGCUGCCCACCUUGUUCAUUGAUUUCUACUUGAUUGAUUCCUUCUUGAUUGAUUUCCAGGAUCUCUGAAACGAGAAGCCCUCCCCUUUAUAUGUUUAAUCAGAUAUUGCAAAGUGGACCUGAGAACGAGCCCGUCGGAAGCAGAUUAUGAAGGGGCCUAUGUUUUGAAUAUGCUGAACUGCUUUGGUUUGUGACUGGGGAAGAUUAAAGGCCUACAACAAAAAUGAGUGCUGGAUAUUGCUGACAAGAGAGGCUUCCUGUAAUUUCUCAGGCCAUAAGUAUUUAAGGGUCCACUGUUGACGCCAGCAUUGCAUUUCCCAUGUUCCUGCUUGACACACCUGUGCAGGUGGCAUGGUUUUAGCAGACCGAUCCAGAGAGAAGUAUCUGCAUUACAGUUAGACUGGAAGAAAAGUUAUUAAGUUGAGACUUUAAGGUAACCAGCCUUACCGACGUCACAGAAGUGUGUACGGAGAAGAGUUCCUGCCAGCUCAAGUAUUGUCUCCUCUGAUCAGAGUUCUCCUUGCACAGCUUAUUUCUGCUGUGAUAGAAAAACAGUCUGGGUGUCACAGAGAGAACUGAAGACAGGAAGUGGGAACUCUCCCUUCUGAAUACAGCACUAGAGUUAAUGUUAAGAGUGAGGGAAAAAAGCUAAGAGUAAUUCCUAUUGGUGAACUCAUUCAAUAUUCACAGACACCUAGGAGAUAGAUAUUCUUCUUCUUCUUCCCAUCUUCUAAGAAACUGAGGCCCAGAGAGGUUGAGUAAAUUACUCAAGAUUAAAUAGCACAGAUGGCAGAACAAAGAUGCAAACUCAGAAAGUCUGGCUCCAUUCUUUCUUUUCUUUUCUUUUCUUUUCUUUUCUUUUUUUUUUUUUUUUUGAGACAGGGUUUCGCUCUGUUGCCUGGCUGGAGUGCAGUGGUGCAAUCGUAGCUUAUAGCAGCCUUGACCUCCUGGGUUCAAGCGCUCCUCCCAUUUCAGCCUCCCAACUAGCUGGGACCACAGGCAUGCAUCCCCACAUCCAGUUAAUUUUUGUAUAUUUUUGGGGGUAGAGAUGGGGUUUCACCAUAUUGCACAGGCUGGUCUUGAAUUCCUGGACUCGUGAUCCACCUGCCUUGGCCUCCGAAAGUGUUGGGAUUACAGGUGUGAGCUACUGCACCCGACCCUGACUCCAUUCUUAACCACUAUAUUACAUUGAUGUAUGUGUCCUCUUCACCUGGCAAAUCUUUAUGGAAUUUGGAAUAAGGCAAGGAUGUACUGCAAUAGGAUGUCGUAUCUGGACUUUUUUAAAAAAGUGUCUUUGAUUAUAAGACAAAUUCCAUAGCAUAAGAACUCAGAAACCACAAUGUAACAAAUCUCUGAUGACUAUUUGCAAAUUAUUUUUCCAGUGUCCUAAAGAAUACGGCCCUGCCCUGAGAGAGUAAAAUCACCUGCCACAGUGGUCCUUUGCACUAGGACUUCCCCCUCAUUCUCUCGCCUUUAGGGAUGGGAUAGCUGAGAAGAAGGGCCAAGCGGAUUACUUGGGAACGUGCCACAUUGAUGGGAAUUCAGGUGGUCUUGCUAGACUUCUACUGGGCACUGCUUUCUUUAUAAUGCUAAGUGUAUAUAAUCUGUUUUAUAUGCUUUGAGAAUGCACUGUAAUUGGUACACUCUGAUAAUCAAAGCAAACUUAGUCACAUAUAUUAGACACCACAGAGAAGUGUGCAGUGGAGUGAAACUGCAAUUUAUAUUGCCGUGUUACACUAGUUUCAGCUCCAGUUUUUAUUCUAUGCGUGAAAUGUAGGAUAAGAUUGCUCCUGUUGCAGCUUUUAGAGUUACUUCUUUGACCAUGUUUGGUUUGGCAGUUAAGAAAAAAAUCAACAGCAGGAUUACAUUUCAAUGGCACAACAUCUAAUCCUCAGGCAAAUGAUUUGUCCACGCUUAAUAUAAAGUACUUAGGAUGUAUUGUUUGAUGUGAACACUAGUUCUAAUAAAAUGGUGCCUGAGGUACAGUUCUUUAACUUGUAAUACCCUUAUUUGUGUUGGCCUGUACACAUUGGAUAUAAAGCCAUCGUGAUAAAAUAUAUCCUCUUUAGCCUGAUAAAAAGGAAAAUCAGAGUAGAGGACCCAUACCAGGAGAGAGAAGAUGCUGUAAAACACAAAGCCCCUUAUGAUGUUUGUAGUUGGCCUUGAGGACACGCCCUUCAACACUUCUCUGAUGGGCACUUUCCCACUGUCUUGGAGGAGC